UACGGAGGGGGCGAGCGUUAUUCGGAAUUAUUGGGCGUAAAGGGCGCGUAGGCGGCCCGCUAAGUCAAAGGUGAAAUCCCUCGGCUCAACUGAGGAACUGCCUUUGAGACUGUCGGGCUUGAGGCCGGGAGGGGGUAGCGGAAUUCCCAGUGUAGCGGUGAAAUGCGUAGAUAUUGGGAGGAACACCAGUGGCGAAGGCGGCUACCUGGACCGGUUCUGACGCUGAUGCGCGAAAGCGUGGGUAGCAAACGAGG
rnacentral:rRNA from 1 species